UACGGGGGGGGUAAGCGUUGUUCGGAAUUACUGGGCGUAAAGGGCUCGUAGGCGGCCAACUAAGUCAUACGUGAAAUCCCUCAGCUUAACUGGGGAACUGCGUGUGAUACUGGAUGGCUUGGAUGUGGGAGAGGGAUGCGGAAUUCCAGGUGUAGCGGUGAAGUGCGUAGAUAUCUGGAGGAACACCGGUGGCGAAGGCGGCAUCCUGGACCAUUAUUGACGCUGAGGAGCGAAAGCCAGGGGAGCAAACGGG
rnacentral:rRNA from 1 species